UUGGUUUAUUUCCACAACGCGAAAAAAACACUUGGUUCAAAACCAUUGUGAGACGCAAGUAAGCGGAAGCUGAAGAAACGGAAU
rnacentral:ncRNA from 1 species